AUCAGACUCACUUUAUAUUAUUAUCUCUAGUGACAUACCGGAAGGCAUAUUCAACAUCACAUGAUGUUUACUUGCUGAGGCCAUUUUGUUUGCAUUUUCGAGAUGGUUAUAAAAUCUUAUCAUACUUACUACCUGAGAUUUUUGACAGCUUGGACUGAGCAAGAACUUGUAUUUCAAAAAGAUCAUAGAGGCGCCUCCUGAGUAUGUACCACCAGCAGAUUCUGAGUCACCUUACAGCAGAGUAACUGUAACUUGUAAACAGAGAGCAUUAUAAUCUGCAGUAUAUAAAUCUUCCUGUAUGCUUGUCCAGAUGCACAUCAUACCAUCCAAAACUUUGAGUCAGAAGAAAACCUGUACACUUGUCCAUAUCCACAUUACAUCCCAUGAGGUUACAAGAGUGUUCAAGGACCAAAAAUAUGGUUUUAGGAUUGAUCUAAUCAUUCUCUUUAGUUACCUUCCUUUAAAGCAAAAUGUCUGUUAUCAUUGGGCAAAUACUGCUAAAAUUGGUGAAAAACACAUAAUUUCCCACUCAAACAUUCAAAUAGUUCUACCUAUGAACAUAUACAUAGAGAGCAGUGACAUCUCUUCCUACUGUUCCAUUCCUAAGACAUGGCUUACAGACAAGUAGCAGACAAAGAGAGACUUGAUCUCUUACAUAGGCUACAGUUGUCUCCACAGUCCAAGACACCAGACACUGUACUGGAAUGGACUGAGCUUGAUAUAGACAAUGCUGAUAUAGACAUCCUACCAGAGUCCAUUGACAGGUGC